CCCAGUUCCCCCAGGCUAUGAAGGAGAGGGCAGCACAGAAACCGUUUCUGGCAUGCUUCAGGACCUCAGCCUUGGUCUUUCUCGGAGAGAUGCCGAGCAGGGAGCCUGGUCAGGUAGCAUUUGUGAGCCCUUCAGAAACCACCAGAUUGGCUGCUGGCUCAAGUAAGCAAGGACUAUAAAUCUCAUGUUAUGACUCUGGUUUCCAGUGCCAAGAACAAUCCUCAAGGUCCAGCAAUCAGUUAUAUCUGUGGAGAUAAGAAAAACUGACUGAAGAAAUUACUACUGGGAAGCUUCAGGAAGCUUCUCAAUUGCUAACUGCCAGAAUCUCGAGGCCUGGAUUUGGGUUAGGAUUCUGCCAGUUUGGUCCAUUUUUCUUAUGGCUUCCUCUAAGUGUUGUACUCUAUCUGCAGUUUCAUACUCUUCUUGUAGGCUACCUUAAAAUUGCAUUUGUGCUUAUUUAAGGUUUGACAUUUUCCCUAGUCUAUUUCUCAAACUCUUCCCUAUAUACACUGAUAUUUGAUAACAAACAUUGUGUACUGUUUUUAAUCAAGAGACGUUGAGAAAAGGUACUGGGAGUAAAAUGGGAGUCUUCAGGGUAAUUCAGCAGGGACAAGAAUGAUUUUUUUCUGAGAAAUAAAAUUGCUGCAAGAUUUGUCUUUGAUCUAGAAUAAACAUAUGCUAACUACCUGAAGGUAACUUAUCUUGCUGCUUCAGGAGAUAGAUCUAUUAGAUGGAGAUAAUGGCUUGAAAAAAAGUAUCUUUCUUUACAUUUUAGAUUUCUAUUGAAUGUAAUGUAUCUUAGGACAAGCAUUCUAAAAAAAAAAAAAAAAGAAAGAACAAAUGAAUAAAUCUGUCAGUACCAAGGAAAAGAACAGAAUUGAAACUGAAAACCCAGCUCCUCCUUACACAUCAUCACAGAGCAUUUGGAUAACUUGUUGGGUAGGAGGGGAGAGUCUUCUGCACAUGGGAGAAGGGCAAGC